rnacentral:rRNA from 1 species
UGCCUAAAUACAUGCAAGUCGAGCGGACAGAUGGGAGCUUGCUCCCUGAUGUUAGCGGCGGACGGGUGAGUAACACGUGGGUAACCUGCCUGUAAGACUGGGAUAACUCCGGGAAACCGGGGCUAAUACCGGAUGGUUGUCUGAACCGCAUGGUUCAGACAUAAAAGGUGGCUUCGGCUACCACUUACAGAUGGACCCGCGGCGCAUUAGCUAGUUGGUGAGGUAACGGCUCACCAAGGCGACGAUGCGUAGCCGACCUGAGAGGGUGAUCGGCCACACUGGGACUGAGACACGGCCCAGACUCCUACGGGAGGCAGCAGUAGGGAAUCUUCCGCAAUGGACGAAAGUCUGACGGAGCAACGCCGCGUGAGUGAUGAAGGUUUUCGGAUCGUAAAGCUCUGUUGUUAGGGAAGAACAAGUGCCGUUCAAAUAGGGCGGCACCUUGACGGUACCUAACCAGAAAGCCACGGCUAACUACGUGCCAGCAGCCGCGGUAAUACGUAGGUGGCAAGCGUUGUCCGGAAUUAUUGGGCGUAAAGGGCUCGCAGGCGGUUUCUUAAGUCUGAUGUGAAAGCCCCCGGCUCAACCGGGGAGGGUCAUUGGAAACUGGGAAACUUGAGUGCAGAAGAGGAGAGUGGAAUUCCACGUGUAGCGGUGAAAUGCGUAGAGAUGUGGAGGAACACCAGUGGCGAAGGCGACUCUCUGGUCUGUAACUGACGCUGAGGAGCGAAAGCGUGGGGAGCGAACAGGAUUAGAUACCCUGGUAGUCCACGCCGUAAACGAUGAGUGCUAAGUGUUAG